rnacentral:rRNA from 1 species
CAGUCGCCACGGUAAUACGUAGGUGGCAAGCGUUGUCCGGAAUUAUUGGGCGUAAAGGGCUCGCAGGCGGUUUCUUAAGUCUGAUGUGAAAGCCCCCGGCUCAACCGGGGAGGGUCAUUGGAAACUGGGGAACUUGAGUGCAGAAGGGGAGAGUGGAAUUCCACGUGUAGCGGUGAAAUGCGUAGAGAUGUGGAGGAACACCAGUGGCGAAGGCGACUCUCUGGUCUGUAACUGACGCUGAGGAGCGAAAGCGUGGGGAGCGAACAGGAUUAGAUACCCCUGUAGUCCCUGUCUCUUAUAC